CCUUGUACAGAUGUGUUGGUCUAAAAAGAUGAACAUUUUUUCCCAGCAGAUUUAGAUAUGAAAAAUGUUCUGUGCUCUAUGAAGCCCUGCAGAUCAGCGUUAAUUGGCUACAGAAGCAAAAGGAAUUUUACAAACAAGAGAAAAAUCUGCAGAUGUUGGAAAUCCAAGCAACGCACGCAAAAGGGUCUUGCUGAAGGACCUCAGCCCGAAACAUCGACUGUACUUUUUCUCCAUAGAUGCUGCCUGGCCUGUUGAGUUGCUUCAGCGUUUUGUGUGUGUUGAAAAGGAACUUUAUUAUGUUCUCAACAUAAUAGGAUUAAGAUUUUAUUUCUUUUAUCUCUACUUAGAUUACAUGCCUCUAGAUGGGCAGGUAGAAUUUAUAUUGCUUUGAAUAAGAGAUUAUGACAGAAUUAGGGAUUUUUUGUUGUAUAUUUUCAUAUGUUCAUUUUUGCCACGCGCAGUCACACCAUUUAGUAACUCCCGAGAACGGCCAAUCAUACCGAUGUUAACUGUAUAUUUUCUCUCAGAUAUUCUGGGCGGCUUUGUACCUCGGCUGUAGUUUUGACCGGCUCGGCGGCACCGGCAUUCUGACUGUACUCAGGUUAUUGGAACGCUAAUCAGAUUAGCAGUGACUAAAUACUUGCUCAACCUUUCCUGUCUAACGCACCACUCCGCCUCUCUUGCGCAAUAGUGUGCUCAGAAUAUAAAUGCUAUCUAAAUAUCAUUCUUCUUGUGGACUUUUGAGGGCAUCUCGCUGAUAGUGAAUACUAGUGGGGAGCAGAAUCCUUUGUAUUUUAGCACCCCGUGAUGGAAUCAAGUAUCCCUGGUCGGGUAUAAUCUACCCCGGCGUAAAUAAAACCCGUUUGCAUUGAACAGUAAUUUAUCCCGGUACUAACUAAAGAAGAGCACCCCCAUUCAUACCAAAUAGCGCAACGUAAUAGUAACUCUGGUCUCGUAAUUAAUUUUAUCCCAAAAGCAUUACGACACAUCUAUGUGAAGUGUCACCGUACGCUGAUGAGGAUUCUGUUCACAUCGCCAGCUCUGAACUGACUGGAACAAGACAAAAGCUCCGACGUCCUAACGAGAACCGCGCUGGAGGGAGGCUGCGGCGACCAGAUUAGCAACACUUCUCAGGUUUACAGCGUGUUGCGUUACCGCAGAAUGGGCCAUUAAAGAACAGUGUAAAACAGGAUCAGUCUCCUUAAUGAUGUUCCCGAUGACUGAGCAGCCAACACCCACUGCCACUACUAGCAUAUCAAAAGCAGAUCUCGUAUUGGACCGUACCAUUCCGUUCACGUGACGUGAUUCUGAAUAAAGUAAAGUAAAGUUGAAGAGAGAAGGGAGAUACCGGCAGGGUUCAUCGCUGAAUGUUGAUCAAACUGGAAUAAUGCUGGGUCAUUUUAACGCCAGCGCGGAAACCUGUGAUACUGCAGCAAGGGAGAGCGCCCGUUCGGCACUGGCUCCCCAUUAUUAAACAUUCUUCCAUCUGCGGCAGAUCUUUCAAAAACAGACUGCCUCCUGAUGCACCAUAUUUGAAAUACAGCAGUUUUCCUAAAAAGGGCUUUGAAACUACGUGUGAACCUAACUGCAAGAUCACUUAAAACCAACUAGAAAAUAACUGAAGAUACCAGCACUUUGACAAAGCUAGCUUGUGAGACAAUGGAUGUUCAUGUUUGCUGACCAUAUCAUCCUAUCAUGAACAGUUCUUGAUCUCUUAACGUUAUCUAUGUUAAUUCUUUAACAUUAAAUAUAACCUUACACUAUGUUAAUGGAGACCCAUUUUUGAAAUUAGAAUUUCAUGGUAAAUCCCAAGCUCAUGUUCAUGCUUCAUGAAGAAUCGGUGAAAUAGAUAUUUUGA